UCAGGCGUUAAGGAUACCCUUUUACAUAUAUAUGCAUUAAUUUUCUCAGAACGUGAAUGCAUAUUCAUUAUGCUCUCAGAACUCAUUUGCACACAGUCCAUCCCCCACAAAGAGUGUCCCUGGUGGUCUUCAGGACCCGCUGGUGGUGAUCGUCUUGAUGUUCCUUCUUACCAGAGCCUCUGUGUUGUCAUUUGUAUCAGUUAUGUUUUUGUUUUCCAGUUAGUAGUCCUUGCCAAAAAGUCCUGAUAUUUUAAUUUGUGUGUCUGUCAGAUCCUGGAUGUCUCAAGAGAGUUGUCAUCUGUAGCCAAGAUGGUGUAAGGUAGCUGAAGAUGACACAAAGAUUUGUCAAAAUGCUUGUAGAUUUGACCCUCCGAUAUGUUCCCGAAAGCUCCCAAGACAAAGUUAUCUCUGAUGAAGAUGUCUUUGAAACACUACUGAAAAUAUUUAAAGCUCUGUUCAUAAACGACUUCAGCAGACAAGCACAUAUUUUUGCCUUACUGCCUGAAAUCAAAUGUAAAUAUCUAGAAUUACUGACUGUUGAGCAGAAGCAAUCAAAAGUAAAUUCUUGUGACCAACACAGUCGACAUGUGUUUAGUCCAGAGGAAGUUCUCUUUGAUACAGUGGGGUUUACUGUCAUGCGGGACCGAAGUUCCCUGGUGUCUGCUGGAACUGGAGUGUUUGUUACCAAAGGCUUUGUUCCCAAAGGGACAGUUGUAUCUAUGUAUCCUGGUACAGUAUACAGAAAGCAUGAGCCCAUCUUUUUCCAGUCCCUUGGCAAUCCCUUUAUUUUUAGGUGCAUAGAUGGCAUCCUUAUUGAUGGGAAUGAUAAAGGACUGUCAAGAUCAGUGUACAGGUCUUGCAGCAGAAGAGAUCAACUUGGCCCACUUCAAAUGAGCGAUGAGAGUUGGCUCACAGCUGCCCUGCAGAACCCGCUGGCUGUGGGACAGUAUGUCAACAACUGCUCAUAUGAAAAAGCAGCCAACGUGUGUUAUCAGGAGUUUGAUGUGCCAAGAUAUUUUCCAGUGGAACUGAAACAGUAUCUGCCGAACAUCGUCUACAGCCAUGACAUAGAGAGGUUAGCAGUGAAUCAAAGAGCUCGUGGAUGUGUAUGGUACAAAGCAUGCUGUAUGUGUGAAAAAGACAAACAUAGUUGCAGAGUAAUGUUAUUCCAAAUGAAGGUAAAGAAAGAAAUGCUCAUAAAGGAAGCAGUAAGACUGAGCUUUCAGCGAGCCUGGACCCAGCACUUGAGUUGUGAAACCACAGUGAGCACAGCUAAGCUCAGUGACCAUUUCAAGAAGGGAGAACUUUGCUCUCUUCCAUGGGAUCUACCCAAGAAAAUACAGUCUUUUGCUCAUCAGUUCUUCCAAGUGUACAGCCACUAGAGAAUAGAUCCUAUCUGCUUCUAGCUGCUUGGUUCGAUGCUGAUGUUGACGGUGCUGACAACAUGACCACCUGAGGUGUGUAGUGCUUGUCACUCUGAGAGACAUCAAGCAAGGAGAAGAACUGUUUUCUAACUACUACACUGUUGU